CUUUUAAUGAGAGUUUGAUCCUGGCUCAGGACUAACGCUGGCGGCGUGCCUAAUACAAUCGAGUAGAACGCUGCAGGAGGAGCUUGGUCUUCUGGAUGAGUUGCGAACGGGUGAGUAACGCGUAGGUAACCUGCCUGGUAGCGGGGGAUAACUAUUGGAAACGAUAGCUAAUACCGC
rnacentral:rRNA from 1 species